rnacentral:piRNA from 1 species
GGGCAAAGCAUUGGUCAGGUGUCAUGCUC